UAGUUGCCAGCACUUCGGGUGGGCACUCUAGGAAGACUGCCGGUGACAAACCGGAGGAAGGCGGGGAUGACGUCAAAUCAUCAUGCCCCUUAUGUCCUGGGCUUCACACGUACUACAAUGGCCGGUACAACGGGCAGCGAAGCCGCGAGGGGGAGCGAAUCCUUUUAAAGCCGGUUUCAGUUCGGAUUGCAGGCUGCAACUCGCCUCCNGAAGU
rnacentral:rRNA from 1 species